UCUUUGCAAAUCUUUGAAUAAAAUUUUUCUUAUUGUACUGGAUUUUUAAAAGGAGAGAACACAUUUCCAUCGUCCCUCCCCUGUCUUUCACUGUCUCCCAGAGUUUGCUCAAACUCAUGUCUAUUGAGUCUGUGAUGCCAUCCAACCAUCUUAUCCUCUGCUGCCCACUUCUCCUCCUGCCCUCAGUCUUUCCCAGCAUCAGGGUCUUUUCCAAUGAGUCAGCUCACUGCAUCAGGUAGCCUAAGUAUUGGAGCUUCAGCUUCAGCAUCAGUCCUUCCAGUGAGUAUUCAGGGUUGAUUUCCUUUAGGAUUUACUGGUUUGAUCUCCUUGCAGUCCAAGGGACUCUCAGGAGUCUUCUCCAGCAAGGGUGUGAGAGAAGGAGAGAAACUGGGGAGAAUUCCAAGGGGAGACAGCCAGCUUCUGACGUGGCUCCUAAAGACCCCCGUCUCCUGGCUGUCACAUCUCUAUAACUCCACUCCUCUUGAGUCGAGGCUGGACCAGGUGACUUGCUUCUGAUGACUAGGAUAUGGCAAAGUUGAUGGAAUGGCACUUCUGUGAUUAGGUUACAAAAGACUGUGACUUCCUCUUGCUGGCAGAUUCUCACUACUGCCCUCUCAGCUUGCACCCUUCAAUGAAGCAAGAUGCCUUACUUGUGAGGUCCACAUGUCAAGGAUCCAAGGGUAGCCCCUGGCCAACAACCAGUGAGGAACUGAAGCCCUCAGUCCAACAGCCCAUGGAGAACUAGAUCCUGUCAACAACCACGUGAGCUCAGGCUCCAGGGACUGUAACCCACCAGGAUCCUCUGUCCAUGGAAUUUUCCAGACAAGAAUACUAGAGUGGAUUGCCAUUUCCUCCUCCAGGGGAUCUUCCCAACCCAGGGAUUGAACCUGUGUCUCUGGCGUCUCCUGCAUUGCCAGGCAGAUUCUUUACCACUGUGCCACCUGUGUAGCAGAGACUAUGCUAGAUCUUCACUAUACCUGUUUUCCUUCACCUCCUGGAUCCAUGGGCUUGGUGCCUCAUGGUUGCAAGAUGGCUGCUGCAGCUCCAAGCAUCUUGUCCUUAACACCAGCAUGUUCAAGGCAAGAAGAGGGGAGUGGCUGGUGUUAAAGAACUUUCCUCUCAGCUUUUCUCAGAAGCCCCCAAGCUGACUUCUCCUUGAAGCUCAUUGGCCAGAACUCAG
ensembl:lncRNA